UCACAGCGCGUCCAGAGUCAGCGACAAAAAAAACAGUGUAUUUUUGUUGCUUAACACACAAGACACGGAGAACAACGACGCGCUAAUGUUAAUAAUAUUAGACGCAGCGGCAGUUUCCGAACGAGAUCUGAUCGCUUAAAAUUCCAGCGUCAACCGCGUCUUAUUCCGGUGACUCUUUUCAAUGUUGCGGCGAUAUUUUUUUAAGCUCACGCCAUCCUCCGCAUCGUUUAAUUUAUUGCCGCUCAUAAUAAUCGCCGCGUCCAUUAUCCGAACAGGGCUAUAUUGUCUGACCAACUAAAUUAUGUAGAUUAUUUAUAACUGAUUGAACUUAUAUAUUAUAUAUUAGAUGAUACUUUUUAAAAACGUAAUUUUUUAAUAUUAAUUUUUAAAUAAAACUGCAUAUAUUUUGAAAAUAAAAAUUUUCAGAGUUCAAGUUCAACGGAAGUACUUUACUAAGUUAGGUCAUUUAUUAAGUAAUUUACUAAGUUUUCACAUUUUAAAUAAAAUAUAUCUAAAAAUGGUUUUGAUAUUCAGAUUUCAAACUCUUUAAAUAAGUUAGGUCAGAAUCUGGUGAACAUUUAAUUCCGCGUUUUAGCUCAAUCAGCUCCGCUAAUUCCCAUAUAUAAAUUUUGAUAGAAUUAUUGGAAAAAAAAAAAUUGAAACCAAUUAUUGGAAAUUGACUAGCAAUAUUAGAUAACUUGUAGCAUUUAAAUGUAGACUAUAAUAAUGGCAUGGUUUUAUUAUAUAAUCUAAAACAAUUCAUAUGAUUACACUAUUCUACUACAAGUGUAGAUAAAUCGUGCGCAUACGCAACAAAAUAGAACAUCAAAAUUAAAAAAAAAACUUUUUUUUAUCGGCCGAUCCGAUCGGACUCGGAAGGAACAUACUUAGUGCUAUAGAGUGGACUAGCUACCAUACUGUCUGACCUGAGUUUAGAAUAUCUUUCGACUAAUGUCAGGGGUGAACCGAUCAUCUGUUACGAUCCACCGUGUAAAUCAUUUGGGCCGAAGUCCAAUACAGACUGACCAAGUGAUGAUAAUUUAGUUCUUACGAUGAAUCGAACAUAACACUGACGUGGAUACACACCAAAUUCCAAUAGAAUGACACUAGGCUACCGCACCUUGAUUAAUUAAAAAAAUCUUGGUUGGUGGGAGCAUGAGGUUUCGUCUAAGACAUAGAGGAAUGACACGUGGCGUGAUGUUGAAAGCUCCCUAUGGAGAUUUACAAUACAAGCCUCCCAAGGAUAUUCUUCAGGACAAUUUCUCCACUGCGUUUCAAACCUUCUCUCUCUAUCUUUUGGAGAAGAAAGAGAUUCAUCUUCUUCCUCUUCAAAUCUGAGAUUUGAUCUGAAAACCAGAUAACGAUGACAAUCUUGUGCAACAACGGCCGCAAAAGAGACAAGAGGAGAAGAAAAGAGAAAGAAAAGUUGAAAGAAGAGAAUCCUCAUCAAUGUUGUUGUUAUUGCGUGUUGCCUACGUUUUCAAUGGUCAGAGGAAUAAAGAGAUGUCUCUUCCUCUCGUGCUAUCCAUUUAUUCGUUGCUUAGGGUUUGAAGACAGAAGACAUCGUCACCAUCUUCAUAACCACAAUCAUUUUCUAUGAUUCUUCCCUCCUUACACUUCUUUUUUCUUUGUGUAUGUGUGAAGAUUAUUUAUUAAACAUCUUGAAAACACCUUGAUUUUCAGACAAAAAACAUGUAAACAAUCAAAUAAAGGAAUCAAGAUAUUGAAAUGUU